rnacentral:rRNA from 1 species
UUGUCUCUCUUGAGUGGAUCCUGAGUACGACGGAGCACGUGAAAUUCCGUCGGAAUCUGGGAGGACCAUCUCCUAAGGCUAAAUACUCUCUAGUGACCGAUAGUGAACCAGUACCGUGAGGGAAAGGUGAAAAGCACCCCGGAAGGGGAGUGAAAUAGAACCUGAAACCGUGUGCUUACAAGUAGUCAGAGCCCGUUAAUGGGUGAUGGCGUGCCUUUUGUAGAAUGAACCGGCGAGUUACGAUUUGAUGCAAGGUUAAGCAGUAAAUGUGGAGCCGUAGCGAAAGCGAGUCUGAAUAGGGCGUUUAGUAUUUGGUCGUAGACCCGAAACCAGGUGAUCUACCCUUGGUCAGGUUGAAGUUCAGGUAACACUGAAUGGAGGACCGAACCGACUUACGUUGAAAAGUGAGCGGAUGAACUGAGGGUAGCGGAGAAAUUCCAAUCGAACCUGGAGAUAGCUGGUUCUCUCCGAAAUAGCUUUAGGGCUAGCCUCAAGUGAUGAUUAUUGGAGGUAGAGCACUGUUUGGACGAGGGGCCCCUCUCGGGUUACCGAAUUCAGACAAACUCCGAAUGCCAAUUAAUUUAACUUGGGAGUCAGAACAUGGGUGAUAAGGUCCGUGUUCGAAAGGGAAACAGCCCAGACCACCAGCUAAGGUCCCAAAAUAUAUGUUAAGUGGAAAAGGAUGUGGCGUUGCCCAGACAACUAGGAUGUUGGCUUAGAAGCAGCCAUCAUUUAAAGAGUGCGUAAUAGCUCACUAGUCGAGUGACACUGCGCCGAAAAUGUACCGGGGCUAAACAUAUUACCGAAG